CUGGUGGCGAGUGGCGGACGGGUGAGUAAUGCAUCGGAACGUAUCCUUAAGUGGGGGAUAACGCAUCGAAAGAUGUGCUAAUACCGCAUAAUCUCUACGGAGAAAAGCAGGGGCUCGUAAGACCUUGUGCUUUUGGAGCGGCCGAUGUCUGAUUAGCUAGUUGGUAGGGUAAAGGCCUACCAAGGCUUCGAUCAGUAGUUGGUCUGAGAGGACGACCAGCCACACUGGGACUGAGACACGGCCCAGACUCC
rnacentral:rRNA from 1 species